rnacentral:rRNA from 1 species
AGAGGAAGUAAAAGUCGUAACAAGGUUUCCGUAGGUGAACCUGCGGAAGGAUCAUUAUCGAGUUUUGAACGGGUUGUCUGCUGGCUCGCAAGGGCAUGUGCACGCCUGUCUCAUCCACUCUCAACUUCUGUGCACUUUUCAUAGGCCGGCUUGUGGGUGCGUUCGCGCACUUGUAGGUGUCGGGCUUAUGCUUUACUACAAACGAUUCAGUUUUAGAAUGUCAUACUUUGCUAUAACGCAAUUUAUAUACAACUUUCAGCAACGGAUCUCUUGGCUCUCGCAUCGAUGAAGAACGCAGCGAAAUGCGAUAAGUAAUGUGAAUUGCAGAAUUCAGUGAAUCAUCGAAUCUUUGAACGCACCUUGCGCUCCUUGGUAUUCCGAGGAGCAUGCCUGUUUGAGUCUCAUGGAAUUCUCAACCUUCGGCUUUAUUGACGAAGGCUUGGACUUGGAGGUCGUGCCGGCUCUCGUAGUCGGCUCCUCUGAAAUGCAUUAGUGCGAACGUUACCAGCCGCUUCAGCGUGAUAAUUAUCUGCGUUGCUGUGGAGGGUAUUCUAGUGUUCGCGCUUCUAACCGUCUUCGGACAAA